UACGUAGGGUGCAAGCGUUGUCCGGAAUUAUUGGGCGUAAAGAGCUCGUAGGCGGUCUGUCGCGUCUGCUGUGAAAACUCAGGGCUUAACCCUGAGCUUGCAGUGGGUACGGGCAGACUAGAGUGCGGUAGGGGGAGACUGGAAUUCCUGGUGUAGCGGUGAAAUGCGCAGAUAUCAGGAGGAACACCGGUGGCGAAGGCGGGUCUCUGGGCUGUA
rnacentral:rRNA from 1 species